GGGUCGGAUGUUCCUCGGUUAUCUAAAUUAUACUGUGAAUAUAAAGGUGUCGGUUCGAAUCCGGCUAGUCUCC
rnacentral:tRNA from 1 species